GACGAACGCUGGCGGCGUGCUUAACACAUGCAAGUCGAACGGAAAGGCCCUGCUUGCAGGGUACUCGAGUGGCGAACGGGUGAGUAACACGUGGGUGAUCUGCCCUGCACUUCGGGAUAAGCCUGGGAAACUGGGUCUAAUACCGGAUAUGACCUUCCAUGUAGUGUGGGGGGUGGAAAGAUUUAUCGGUGUGGGAUGAGCCCGCGGCCUAUCAGCUUGUUGGUGGGGUAAUGGCCUACCAAGGCGUCGACGGGUAGCCGGCCUGAGAGGGUGGACGGCCACAUUGGGACUGAGAUACGGCCCAGACUCCUACGGGAGGCAGCAGUGGGGAAUAUUGCACAAUGGGCGGAAGCCUGAUGCAGCGACGCCGCGUGGGGGAUGACGGCCCUCGGGUUGUAAACCUCUUUCGACAGGGACGAAGCUUCGGUGACGGUACCUGUAGAAGAAGCACCGGCUAACUACGUG
rnacentral:rRNA from 1 species